AGAGUUCGAUUAUGGCUCAGGAUGAACGCUGGCGGCGUGCCUAACACAUGCAAGUCGAGCGAAGCGAUCGAGAUGAAGUUUUCGGAUGGAUUCCUGAUUGACUGAGCGGCGGACGGGUGAGUAACGCGUGGGUAACCUGCCUCAUACAGGGGGAUAACAGUUAGAAAUGACUGCUAAUACCGCAUAAGCGCACAGUACCACAUGGUACGGUGUGAAAAACUCCGGUGGUAUGAGAUGGACCCGCGUCUGAUUAGCUGGUUGGUGGGGUAACGGCCCACCAAGGCGACGAUCAGUAGCCGACCUGAGAGGGUGAUCGGCCACAUUGGGACUGAGACACGGCCCAA
rnacentral:rRNA from 1 species